AACCCUCAAAAUCCCUUUUCUUUCAUCGGAAUGGGGAUUUUGGACUUGGAGGUUCAAUGCUCGCUUUCGCUUUCGAAAGUGAGCUCCUCUUAAAUCGAUUAGUGGGGUCCGCUUUGUCGAUCCUUGACGUGAUAAGAUGUUUCUACGUUUUGGACUUGGCACUGUUUUCUCCGCUCCUAACCGUCCCAUGGACAAACGAUGGUGCUUCGGUCUCCUGUCAUCUACGUUGGCGGGAGGCUGGACCCACAAAAAA
rnacentral:misc_RNA from 1 species